AUGACUUAGUAUAUAUAUGUGGGUAUAAUUAUAUCUUUUGGGCUAGCAUUUUAAGUGAUGAUUGGGCUGCAUGUUAUUUACUUGGGCUAAGAGGAUGAGAGAAUUAAAAUCCGAGCCCAACUCCUUUUAAUAAGUUGGGCUGCAGUAAAUUUAUUUAAAAAGGUGGCCAAGAAUUAAUUGGGAGAAAUUUUAGAUAUUUAAUUUUUUUAGCCUAAGUUUUCAGUUAAGGUUCAAUUAAUAUUUUUAUAUGGUUUCCUCUAAUGGGGUAACUAAGAUAAAAUAAUUGUUCUUUUGUUUUAUUUUAGAGUUUUGCAUAAGAGUAAAUUUUGAAGUUAAAAGUAUAAAGUUCAAUUCAAUCAAAGUCGAGAAUAGUGAAAGAAGAAGCAUUAAAUAGUAUGCAAGCGAGUUUUAGAAAUUUCUUAAUGAUAAGUGAAAUAAGAAAAGGAAAUUAAUUACAUGGCAUGCAUUCCUAUUAAAGUUUAAGAAUUUCUUGAAAUCUGAUUUGUGUAUUAUAUUGUGAUGUUUUUAAAAAGGUUAUCUUCGCAAGUUAAGGUCGGAGAAAGAAAUUCAAGUUAAGAAAAAGUAAACGAACGAGGUUAAGCGGUGAUGACGAAGGGCGGUGUUGAGCAAAGAUGGCGAAUGGGUUUCAGUAUUAUAACGCUCGGAUGAAUCGUGUCUCCAUACACGGUGUCAUUCUCUCUUGACUCUUCCGCUGCAGUGUAAAAGUUGAACUUAUGUUCCUUUGUAUCAUGCACUCUGAUAUAUUUUGUCAGUUAUUCCAAUUUGAUUUCGUUCA